GUUGAACUACAUCCUCUAACAUGAUAUGCUGAAGUCCUACCCUCUUGGAACCUAUGAAUGUGAUCUUAUUUGGAAAUAGGGUCUUUGCACAUGUUAUCAAGUCAAGAUGAGAUCAUACUCGUUUAGGGUGGCCCUAAUCCAAUAUGAAUGGUGUUCUUAUAAGAAGGGGAGAAAACACAGGGGCAGACACAAGAGGGAAGAAUGCCACGUGAUGAUGGAGGCACAGAUUGCAGUGCUGCCGCUGCAAGCCAACACAUGCCAAGGAUUCCUUGCAUUCCAAUACCAAUCAAAGGCAUUCCAAUGUCAUUCAAACUCCCAGACGCUAGGAAGAAGAAAGAAGGGAUUCUCUUCUGAAGUCUUUGGGGGAGUGUGGUCCUGCUGACACCUUGAGUUUGGACUUCUAACUUCCAGAACUGUGAGAGGGGGAAAUUUGGAGACAGACGUGCAGAGAGCGAAGACAAUGUGAAGACACAGGGCUAAUGCCAUCUAAAAGCCAAGGGAAGUCUGGAGCUACCAGAAGCUAGGAGAGAGGAAUGGAAGAGAUUCUCCCUCACAGCCCUCAGAAGGAACCCACCCCACUGACGCCUUGACCUUGGACUUCUAGCCUUCAGAAUUAUGACUAAAUGGAGGCUUCCAGUAAUAUGACACACAGGGGACAAAGCCUAGGUUGGAACAGAGACAUUCAGAGCUCCCAGAUAUUGGCUCUUAGCUGUAAAGGGCACUGAGAAAGCAGGACAGGCAAAACUGCUGAGGGAUUGGGGAGAUGAAGGGCAGUCCCAGUAGCAGGUAGUACCCAGGGAGCUCGUCUAGCUGUGCUCAUUUCUGUUUCCCCCUACGUGGCUGGUUAAACCCAACCCAAUCAUGAGUAUUGCCUUUUACUUAGAGAAUUUUCCCCUUCCUGGGUCACGAAUUGAUCCUUUUCCAUGUCUCUGUGUCAAAGAGAAUUGGAGCAACUUUUUCAAAUGUGUCUGAUUUGCAUGGGGCCUCAGUCUGAAGAAUGACAGUGCAAACCCGAGGAGACCACCUCCAAUUAAUCACAGUGAUCAGUAAGUCAGGUUUAACCUUCCCAGAGUCACAUGGAGCAUGUCACAAUCACAGCUAUUGAUUCCUGAUCAGUGGAUGCUGUAGCUCAAAACACUGCAGACAGAGACUUCAUGAGACACAGAUGAGGCCAAUUCCAGGAUGCAGAAUUCGCUGAGAGAUCUCAUUGUGUCUCCCAAGAGCGAUUGCCAAGUUUGCAAUGUAAGGAAAAACAGAUCAGUCAAGGAGGAAGAAGUGAUAAAAUCUACUAUAUCGAUUGAAUCACGGUCAGUUUUCCUCUUUCCCUUUUUCUCUUUCUCUCUGUUCUCCUUCCUCCUCUCUCCCUAUCUGUCUCUUUUCCAGGUAUAAACACAGGGCAUAAAAUAUGUAAGGAUUUAACAUGCUGUCAGGUACCAGGAUUUAUCUGCAUUUAACUUGAAACUGGACAGUGUCCAACCAACCUGCUCUAUUAUUCAUUUACUAUCAUAAAGGGCAUGAAAAAGGUGUCUCAGAAUCUGUGGAAAAUGUGGCUAAAUCAUAUUUUCCAUGCUCUAUUUCCCCAUGAUUCUUGCUAUUUGGCAUUCAUAUUAUUUAUGCCUCUAAGAGUUAUCUAAAAAUACAUUUUUCUGAUUGGUACAGUGUUACUCACCUGUCUGCUUUCUUCUGGAUUUCAGAUUAUGUUAGUGGGAUGGUGACAAUGUCAGUGAGUCAAGGCAUCCUUGGGAAAGAAGAGCUGUCCUGGGUCAAGGAAAGAACUGAGGGAAGCAGGCUGGGCUCAGAGCUCAGUUCUAAAUUUUUGCCGAAUGGGCCCAUGACAUAUUAUCUACUAGACUGUUAGCUUCUUGAAGCCAAGGACUAUGUUAUUCAUUCAUUAAUUUAUUCUUAUAUACCUCCUUAGCACUUAGUAUGAUGCGUGACACACACAUAUACUGAAUGAAUGAACGAAUGAAUGAACAAUAAAUAAAUACACCUUUGGCAUUUUACAAGUGCCCAGUACCAAGUUAAUGCUGAUACUUUCUCAAGUCUUUAUUGGCUAGAGUUCUAUACUGCUUAAAAUGUAUGUGAAUUAAAUAAGUGAUUUAUUAUGUAAUAUUUAUAUAGGAUCAAUGCUAAAUUUGAUAUAGUGAUUUAUUCAUUCAUUUAUGUAUUCAUAUGUUCUAACAUGGAUUGAGUGCCGGCUCAAUGUCAGGCCUUAUGUUGGGGGUCGGGGAGAUGCCUAUUCCCAUUUGUACUAUUUCCUAUCAUGUGCAGGUAGUUUCACUAACACAGCACUCUUGGAUUCUUUCUAUCCUUCACUCAUUCCUUCCCGGGAAAGGAGGAGUAGCUUAAUCUGAUUGGUUACUUUAGAAUACCUCAGUAGAAUCCAAUUGUACUCAGUGUUUGUGGCAAAUAAGGAUGCUUUAUGGAGCCUCUGGAAGUCCCCCAAAGAAGAAUCGCAGAGCAGAUCCACCUGGGUCUUUGUAGUAAAGCCAUGCUCCCAUUUGCUAAUAACUAUUCUCCUUUUGAGAAAAACCCUUUGAGUUGCCAUUGAGUCCUGGCAGAGACUGAACAUUUGACCAAUGCACCAAAUGGGAACUGCCCAUCACAAAUUGGCUGUUAUCUGAUCCAUAAGACAUAAGGUUGGAUGUGUUCAGUAGCAAUCCAUCAUUAAGAGGAAAUGGUAGAUAUGAGCCUGGGCUGGAGGAGGUCAGGAAGGCACAGUAAAUUGCCUGAGUAGGUAGCUUAGACUCCUUUGACAGCUAUCCUGCUGUGUUGUUGCCACUCCCUGAGACUUUGCCUCAAAAAACUUGAUUCCAGAGAGUUUCAGCUUCUGGUAAUGAUGAAGUAGUUUGGUUAGACCAAACUUCCCACAGAUAACAACGAUACAAUGUGGACAAAAAAUAUAUGUACACAUAUUUAAACAGCUAUUUGAUGGUGCUGGAGAGCAACCACAAAGUGGCAAAAGCUGCAGAGGAGG
rnacentral:lncRNA from 1 species